ACACUGAAAUACGCUUUCGAAGUCAGGAUACGUAGGCCCCGUGCACUCCGGUGCUCCGAUCCACCGGCCAGCCGCUCCGGCCUCCGACCCCGCCGUGCCGCCAUGCCCUUGAGCAAUGGGGCCCGGCUUCAGCUCGUCAGCAGCACACGCUUGGGCCGAGCGGCUCUCCCGGGACGCCGCUGCGGGCUUCCGGCGCCCUCGAGCGAACCCCGGGGCGUGAGGGCUCCGUGAGGAGCGGCGCGGAGGUCGGCGGUAAAUGACCGUGCUGAUAAGUGUCGACCAUUUCGCCGCGACGCCGCCGAAUCUGCUCGCCACCGGCCCGCGAUUGGAUCGGCGGAGCGCAUAUCGAGCUGCCCACUAGAAGAGGAGUUGCUCAAUCCCAACGCAACACAGGGUGUCAUUCAUACAGUACAAGGAUGAGUUUCAAGCAUCACCAUCUUCGAUGAAUUUUCUUAUGAAGCUUGUGAAUUUGUCAAGGGCUUCCAGCGGCGACCAUCGCCAAGAGGGAGGGCUCUGUGCGGCAUGGCGUCCUGUGGGCUGUGGCGAACGAAGUGCUGGUGAACUGAAUCUGGAUCGGAUCGUCGCUGAUGGCGGCAGGUCUAUUUGGGGACAGCUGCUCACCGGCCCACGAUUGGAUCGGCGGAGGAGUGGAUAUACCGAGCUGCAUGACGAAGGGACACUCAAGCCCGACCCAGAACAGAGUUCAGAAUGUGAAACAAUUCCCAUGGCCACAAAGAGCAAUUGGCCAAAUCAAGGCUUGCAUGGGCGGAGCCAGCAUUUGUAAUUUGGGUGUACAGAACGUCAGUCGGAACAGGCCGCAGCUUUGCCUCGCUCGCCACUCGGAACAGCGGCGCUCUCCCUUCUCCAGUCUCCACGCCCAGACGACUAUGCGAUGGCGCCGCACGCUGCCGCGCCGCCCGCCAGCACCAUUCCUCAGUGGCUGAGUCAGCCAGUCGCAGAUCGCCUCCCGUCUGCCGUCCGCCAUCGCGCCUCGCACGGCUGCGAUCUCUCGAACUGUCGAAGAACAGCUUCUUGGAGUGCUUUGUACUGUUCGCUGUUUCUUUUAAUGCCAGUGUCUUAUUCGUAAAAAUAAUAAAAAAAAAACAGCGGCGCGCGCGACCUAGCCUAGCUGCGUGUGUUGAGCUCUGUCGUUGACUCAGUUGUGCUGAGCAGACCAAUUGGGGAAUUCCCUUUUUUUUAGCUAUUAAUUGAAGCGGUGGAGCCUUAGAGGGUGAGCACGCGAAUGGGCUUUCUAGGCAUUGCAUUGUUGGGCCCAAUGUUCAAUCGUUCGGGACUGAA